CUUGUUCUGCUGUAUUUUACGUAAAAAUUUCCAUUAGUGAUAAGUGCUAUCAAUAUCAUUGAAACCCUGUGCAACUACUCAAUACACAUGUUAAUUUAGUAUAGUUCACCAGCAGAACAGCUAACUUGAACGUAACUUUCCUCGCAGUUCAAAUAUGACGAAAACGGAAACACCAGAUUCCCGAGUAUGAACCACCAAAACUGGUAACGUGCAUUUAAUAUGGAUAGUAAUGUGGGAUGUCGAUCUGCGCAUCUUUGUCCAUGGUGCGUACGGUAAAGGAUUGAACUAUCUUGAUGCUGGCAAGUUUUCGCGAAUCUACGAAGCAUCCAUGACCUGUUCUUCUUCCAUAUCAAGCAGCAAACUUGUAGGAUUGACGUUGUCUUCCAAUAUCUGGCUCAAGAACGAAUCAAACUACUGAAUGCUUCUUAGGAUUGUACUUGUAAUUUGUUUAAUGGGGGCUUUAACCAGAUGGUCAUUCGCCCAAUUGCUUAGGAUUGUCAUCAGCUGGAUUACCAAGAUGCAAUGUGCUGCAUGCGUAUUGAUCGACACCUGUUCUUUUUGUACGUGGUUUCCAAGUGUCUGGAACUGAAUUCGCCCUUCCUGAAAGAGGUACUCAGUGAAUCAUGGCGGCUUUCCACCAGUCGGAACACCAUAACACCAUACGGCCAAGAUGGAUCUGAAAAAGCAUCCCAAUUGUAUUAGUACAAGUGGCGGUUUCGGUUCAGUGGUCGACGAUAAGUAUGGUGUGACAUACAUUGUAGCCGGUGAAUACCUGAUAUUCUUUCGAAUUUCUACGAAAAAAUCUUGCUGCUCACAGCUCGAACGUCUCAGUAUAAAAAAGUUGUUUUUGUAGAACUCGGACCAUUUCUUGCAGCAAAGCUUUCUCAAUUCUCGAAUAAGCGGAUUGAGUGCGAUGUGAGGCACUAGAACCUAAUCCACACAAAUAACAUCCACCGUUAAUAGCAUAGAUAACACCAUGACGGGCUAUAGCAACUAUUGUGUAUCUAGCUAAUUUAAGCAAUGACAUCUUUGACGAGGCCGUUCACGGUUGUUCUCAUUUAAUCAGUUUUUUCACCAAGAUAUAACCAACGGUUUAGUCGUUCGCUAUAUAUAUGCUGAAAGGUGUUAGUAGCAAGAUAAACAUGAAUGAUAAUCUAUUAUUCAACCGUUAUUUAUAAAAAUGUAGCAUAAAUAGCUCUUUGAAAUUAGCAAAUUGAGGAUUUUUUUAGUUGUCCUUCCUAAAUAAUAACUAAUUAAAAACGAAAAAUCAUCUAAGGUUUUCGCUUUUGAUGCUAAUUUUCGUUCUCCAUGUGCACUAAAUAUAAGCGAUAUCAUGGUACUUUAUCGAUUAAGGAUUUGAACUGUUUUAUGAUUUUAGAUAGUUUCGUGCGGAGGAUAAACAAUACAUACUCAAACCAACUAUGUAUAUGGCAGACGAGCCCUUAUUCUUCUCAUUAGUCAGAAUGUUACACAAUUUCAUUGAUAACUAGGCGAACAAUAAACCGAGUGUAUGUUUAAUAGGUAUA